CGGGCAGUAGCUCAGUGGUAGAGCUCCAGCUUCAUAUGCGGAAAGAUCUGGGUUCGAUUCGCGGCUGCUUUG
rfam:Toxocara canis scaffold370, whole genome shotgun sequence.